CCCAGUCGGUAGUGAGGCAGCUAUGGGGCUAGAAGCACUGGUGCCCCUGGCCGUGACAGUGGCCAUCUUCCUGCUCCUGGUGGACCUGAUGCACCGGCGCCAACGCUGGACUGCACGCUACCCACCGGGCCCCCUGCCACUGCCCGGGCUGGGCAACCUGCUGCAUGUGGACUUCCAGAACACACCAUACUGCUUUGACCAGGUGAGGGAGGAGGUCCUGGAGGGCGGCAGAGGUCCUGAGGAUCCCCCACCACCAGCAAACAUGGGUGGUGGGUGAAACCACAGUCUGGACCAGAAGCCAGGCUGAGAAGGGGAAGCAGGUUUGGGGGACUUCCUGGGGGAGGGCAUUUAUACAUGGCAUGAAGGACUGGAUUUUCCAAAGGCCAAGGAAGAGUAGGGCAAGGGCCUGGAGGUGGAGCUGGACUUGGCAGUGGGCAUGCCAGCCCAUUGGGCAACAUAUGUUAUGGAGCACAAAGUCCCUUCUGCUGACACCAGAAGGCAAGGCCUUGGGAAUGGAAGACGAGUCAGGGUCCUGAGUGUCGUUUAAAUCAGGAAAUCAAGGAUGAAGGGAGUGCAGUGACCCGGUUCAAACCUUGUGCACUGUGGGUCCUCGGGCCUCACUGCUCACCGGCAUGGACCACCAUCUGUAAAAUGGGAUGCUAACUGGGGCCUAUCAGCAGUUUUGGUGACUCUUGCAAGGUCAUACCUGGGUGACGUUGACAGAGGCCCUGACCCUCCCUCUGCAGUUGCGGCGCCGCUUCGGGGACGUGUUCAGCCUGCAGCUGGCCUGGACGCCGGUGGUCGUGCUCAAUGGGCUGGCGGCCGUGCGCGAGGCGCUGGUGACCCGCGGUGAGGACACCGCCGACCGCCCGCCUGCACCCAUCACCCAGAUCCUGGGUUUCGGGCCACGUUCCCAAGGGGUGUUCCUGGCGCACUAUGGGCCCGCGUGGCGCGAGCAGAGGCGCUUCUCCGUGUCCACCUUGCGCAACUUGGGCCUGGGCAAGAAGUCGCUGGAGCAGUGGGUGACCGAGGAGGCCGCCUGCCUCUGUGCCGCCUUCGCUGACCACUCCGGACGCCCCUUUCGCCCCAACAACCUCCUGGACAAAGCCGUGAGCAACGUGAUCGCCUCCCUCACCUGUGGGCGCCGCUUCGAGUACGACGACCCUCGCUUCCUCAGGCUGCUGGACCUAGCUCAGGAGGGAUUGAAGGAGGAGACGGGCUUCCUGCGCGAGAUGCUGAAUGCUGUCCCCGUCCUGCUGCGCAUCCCUGGGGUGGCUGGCAAGGUCCUACGCUCCCAAAAGGCUUUCCUGGCCCAGCUGGAUGAGCUGCUAACUGAGCACAGGAUGACCUGGGACCCAGCCCAGCCACCCCGAAACCUGACUGAGGCCUUCCUGGCAGAGAUGGAGAAGGCCAAGGGGAACCCUGAGAGCAGCUUCAAUGAUGAGAACCUGCGCAUAGUGGUGGCUGACCUGUUCUCUGCUGGGAUGGUGACCACCUCGACCACGCUGGCCUGGGGCCUCCUGCUCAUGAUCCUACACCCAGAUGUGCAGCGCCGUGUCCAACAGGAGAUCGACGAUGUGAUAGGGCAGGUGCGGCGACCAGAGAUGGGUGACCAGGCUUGCAUGCCCUACACCACUGCCGUGAUUCACGAGGUGCAGCGCUUUGGGGACAUCGUCCCCCUGGGUGUGACCCAUAUGACAUCCCGUGACAUCGAAGUACAGGGCUUCCACAUUCCUAAGGGGACGACGCUCUUCACCAACCUGUCAUCGGUGCUGAAGGAUGAGGCCGUCUGGGAGAAGCCCUUCCGCUUCCACCCCGAACACUUCCUGGAUGCCCAGGGCCACUUUGUGAAGCCAGAGGCCUUCCUGCCUUUCUCAGCAGGCCGCCGCGCAUGCCUCGGGGAGCCCCUGGCCCGCAUGGAGCUCUUCCUCUUCUUCACCUGCCUGCUGCAGCGCUUCAGCUUCUCGGUGCCCGCCGGACAGCCCCAGCCCAGCCACCAUGGUGUCUUUGCUUUCCUGGUGACCCCAUCCCCCUAUGAGCUUUGUGCUGUGCCCCGCUAGAAUGGGGUACCUAGUCUCCAGCUGGCUCCCUAGCCAGGG
rnacentral:sRNA from 1 species